AGCGAACGCUGGCGGCAGGCUUAACACAUGCAAGUCCAGCGGGCCCUUCGGGGUCAGCGGCAGACGGGUGAGUAACACGUGGGAACGUACCCUUUGGUUCGGAAUAACGCUGGGAAACUAGCGCUAAUACCGGAUACGCCCUUUUGGGGAAAGGCUUGCUGCCGAAGGAUCGGCCCGCGUCUGAUUAGCUAGUUGGUGGGGUAAUGGCCUACCAAGGCGACGAUCAGUAGCUGGUCUGAGAGGAUGAUCAGCCACACUGGGACUGAGACACGGCCCAGACUCCUACGGGAGGCAGCAGUGGGGAAUAUUGGACAAUGGGCGCAAGCCUGAUCCAGCCAUGCCGCGUGAGUGAUGAAGGCCUUAGGGUUGUAAAGCUCUUUUGUCCGGGACGAUAAUGACGGUACCGGAAGAAUAAGCCCCGGCUAACUUCGUG
rnacentral:rRNA from 1 species